AUGGGGAUGGCCAUGCCCGCCCCGAUGCCGCCAGCCGAUGUCGGUGAGAGUAUCACCACCGACAACGGCUCCAACGAGCUCUCCAUGAGCUCCUGGGACGACACCAACUCCAACAUCAUGUUCUUCGCGCCUGGAAGCAAGAAGGCCAAGGUGCUCAUCAAUGGUGACAACGGCAUGGUCACCAACUUCAGCAAAAUCAAAUCCCAAUUUGGCCUGUCGAGCACGUCUUUGGACAUGCCCGGCAUGGACGGCUACUUGCAGCCGCAGCAGGACUUCGUCGCCUGCAUACAAAGAAGAACAAGGAUUAGCAAGAGGCUAAGGAGGCUGCAAGACCUUGUGCCCAACAUGGACAAGUGUUGCCCAUGGAAAUUCAGAACCUUGGUAGUUGUCGAUGACUCGGACCUUAGUUACUUCAGAUUUCAUAAUAGCAUUUGCGCAGCUAUUCUCUGGGAGAAGUCGUGCAAUGCAAUUGCUGGAAACAUGUUAAGUUUCUUCUUGAAGACGCAGCAAACAAAUAGUUCAGACAUGCUGGAUAUUGUUGUAGACUACAUCAAAGGGCUGUAG
rnacentral:rRNA from 1 species